GAUGAACGCUAGCGGCAGGCCUAACACAUGCAAGUCGAGGGGUAGAGUUCUUCGGGACUUGAGACCGGCGCACGGGUGCGUAACGCGUAUGCAAUCUACCUUAUACAGGGGAAUAGCCCCAGAGAAAUUUGGAUUAAUGCCCCAUAGUGUUAUCGAAUCGCAUGGUUUGAUAACUAAAGUUCCAACGGUAUAAGAUGAGCAUGCGUCCCAUUAGUUAGUUGGUAAGGUAACGGCUUACCAAGACAAUGAUGGUAGGGGUCCUGAGAGGGAGAUCCCCCACACUGGUACUGAGACACGGACCAGACUCCUACGGGAGGCAGCAGUGAGGAAUAUUGGUCAAUGGGCGCAAGCCUGAACCAGCCAUGCCGCGUGCAGGAAG
rnacentral:rRNA from 1 species